ACAUGAAAAAAUUUUGUGUUAUUUCUCAACUUUAACUUAACUUAAAUAAAAACCGAACUUCAAUCGUUCUAAAAGCCUAACCGCACUGAGCUGCAGAAUGAGCUUUAACGUUUCUACAGUUCGUAUUUUAAAUUGAGAAACGGAAACAGUGCGUCGACCGUUGGGUUGACGAGAGGGGUUGCAACCUCUUACUGCCGUGAUUUCACGUCUGAUUUGAUGCCGUCGCCCGUUUCACUACUCUUCUGCGUAAAAGAAGAUUCGUAUGCUUUCUCAACAUGGACACCAUUUUUCAUGUAAAGUCGAGGCAGCCGAACAGCCUGAAUUUGGAUGUAGUUUCGGUCUGAGCUGCAGCGUCGAUCUUUAUCUUUCUAUUUCCUUGUGCGAUGCGUAGCCAUGAUACCGUUUUCACAUUCCCAUGGUCAGAAAUGUAUCCUUCAAGUCCUGCGUAAAACUAUAACUCAAAAAAUCUACGCCUUUAAUGAUGUCGGCCACAAUGAAAUCCUGUCCUAGGUUCGUCUUCUAAGCUUCUUUGUAACCACGCGUCUCCACCUGUAGCUGUUUGUAGUCCUAUCUCAUUCAGAGACUCCACAUUUAUUUUAACUAAACUUCUAAAUGUUAAAUGAGAA